UGUGCAUUCACUGAGGGAAGCUGGACAUCCACUGUAGGAAGUUGUGCAUUCACUGAGGGAAGCUGGACAUCGGCUGUAGGAAGUUGUGCAUUCACUGAGGGAAGCUGGACAUCGGCUGUAGGAAGUUGUGCACCUACUGAGGGAAGCUGCUCAUCUGCUGUAGGAAGUUGUGCACCUACUGAGGGAAGCUGCUCAUCUGCUGCAGGAAGCUGUGCACCUACUGUGGGAAGCUGCUCAUCUGCUGUAGCAAGCUGUGCACCUACUGUGGGAAGCUGUUCAUCUGCUGUAGGAAGCUGUGCACCUACUGUGGGAAGCUGCUCAUCUGCUGUAGGAAGCUGUGCACCUACUGUGGGAAGCUGCUCAUCUGCUGUAGGAAGCUGUGCACCUAC
rnacentral:lncRNA from 1 species